rnacentral:misc_RNA from 1 species
GAACUCCUGCAUGGCCAGCUUGUUCCCCGCGUGAGAGCCCCCAUUGAUCACGUUGAAGGCCGGGACAGGCAGGAUGAGCUCCGUGUUGCCGGCCAGGUCAGCAAUGUGCCGAUAGAGGGGGACCCCCUUUUCGGCAGCCCCCGCUUUGCAGACGGCCAAAGACACCCCCAGAAUGGCGUUGGCCCCAAAUUUAGAUUUAUUCUCGGUGCCGUCCAUUUCGAUCAUCACUUUGUCGAUCUUCUCCUGCUCCACCACGCUGAUUUUCUUCUCUAUCAGUGCGGGGCCGAUGGUUUUGUUGAUGUGCUCCACUGCUUUAAGCACACCUUUCCCCAGGAAGCGCUUCUUGUCGCCAUCGCGGAGCUCCAAAGCCUCAUGGAUCCCCGUGGAGGCUCCGCUGGGGACGGCGGCACGGAAAUGACCCUUGGCUGUGUGGAGGUCCACCUCCACCGUGGGGUUCCCCCUCGAGUCGAGGAUUUCCCUCGCGUGGAUCUUCUGAAUGGACAUCUCUUCAGGCCCACAAUAUACCGCUUAAUGCUAUGGGGGGGGGUCCUCUCCG